CAGGAUCCGCUUCAAAAUCUUCUAUCAAAUGUUGAAAUCGUUUCUAUGAUGAGUCACUUUCGAAGAUUAACAAAAACGUCACGCGUUUAUUCUCUGUCGAACGAGUCGAGCCGGAAACUGUAAAUAAAACCAUGUGAUCAAGAUCUAGAGAAACAUAAUCUAGCGUACAAUAUUUGAAAUUUUGAGAUACUAGAAAAUAGAAAGUUACACUAACCUCUUAAAUGAGAAAAUUGAGUGUAUCUACUAGGUUAGAUUGUCGCUAAAAAACAAUUACAUUACAUUUAUCAAUUCAGUUUAAAAAUAUACCUUAUUAUACUUAUAAUAAUUUACCUUCCCUUAUUCAACUCAGUAAAUCAUUGCUGUAUCAUAUUUAUGAUUUAUACCAUCCUUUCUGCUCGUAAAUCACGUUUGAGGUUACGAAGAAAUGGUGGAUAGAUUAAGAGACAGUUAACACGCAUUUAUGCAGGAAUAAUGGCUAAUGUACCGAGUAAACAACAUAAAAAGAGAUAAAGGGAAACGUGUGGUGUUAUACAUACCGUAUGUUAUUGCUGAAAACAUCACAUCGAAGAUUAUCGAUAGUGAAUAUUAGAAAAUCGAUCGAAACCCGCCGGAUUCUGCAACUGCGAAACAAUAAGCUUGACAACAUUGCAUGGAAUUGUUGGUAUUGUUUCACACGUAAGAUCGAAUAAUAUUCAAUAUUCACGACAAUUCUUUUUUAUUAUUCCAAUAUCGUAUAAGCUAUCUGUCAAAAGCAAUCAGUGUUGCAAGCCGCUCUGUAUUGCAUAUGGUAUUGCAUGAAUACGAGAAUCGAUACAUCUCGCGCAUCGACCUUACAUCCUUUGCUAGUUAUCGAUUAAUAGCAGUGGGAAAUCGAAUAUCAAGUAACUUACAGAAGCAUCAUACGAUAGCCAUCUUAACUUUUUCGAUCUAGUUUAUCGUGUAGUUUCUAGAUUACGACUAAUUGGGUUUAGUUAAUCGAUUGAUAACUAAUAGGUAUUGAUAAGUGAUAAAGAGAAAUGUAAAAAGUGACAUUUUGUAGUGAAUUAGUUGUACAUAAAGCUAUAAUAGAAUAUGCGUUCGAGUAGUUUUGACGUGUGCGCGCGUUCCCUCGAGAGAGACCAGGAGAACCGAGUUCGAGCAGUCGUCUCGUGGAAAAAGUGACCAUUUAAUAACUCAGGAUCGAAUUAUGAUAUCAAGGCGGUGUUUUAAUGGCCGAGUGGCGCUUACCAUCGUCGGUGAUUCGUCAAGCAUGCAUUCGCCUUGUAGACACCCGGUAGACGAGCAACUACCCACGGAAACAGGCGGUCCGUGUUUCGCGUUGCGGCUGGAUUCAACAGGUGACACCUCGUCGGGACGCCAACGUGCGCCUAGACGCUCUGGAAUUUCCACGUUUUUCCCUGGAAUCGCGUUAUACCGAUCGAUGUUCGACGUAAGAGGUCGAGGAACUUUUAACUGUGAUUGUUCUCUCGAUGAGAUUCCUUGCAACAUUAUUUCUUCGUCGUUCAAAAUGAGACGUUAGAAGUUUUCGUGUUACGAAUAUUCUAACGAAACAAGUUCAACUUGUUUGUUGCCUCUACAACCUUAAAUCCAUUUUUUUUUUAUUUUAAUUUCUUUCUUACCGUGAAACCGAGACGAUGCGCCAGCGAAGUUACAAUUGAAGAAGCUUGGAUUGUGCAGAGUUUAGCAACUUAAUAAUAAUACAAUAAUGUAGUAUUUAUUGCAGAUUAGUUGAAACGGUAUAUUUCACAGUGUAAUAUAUUGUUCACAGCUGUGCAAACACGUGGUUGAUUCAAUGCAGCACCAGAGCAAAUAAUAGAGUCGCAAGAAUAAAGAUCUUAAUCAGCGACGAAGGAUCGUACGAUUGAGAUCCGUCUAGUCGUAUCGCUAAUGAAUUCGAAUAGAAUAUCAUAAAUACAUUUUGAAUGAGCACAUUGUGAAUGUAAUUUAACAUUCUAAAUUAAUAACUAUAGGUAAUUUCUGAAAGCCUAUCGUAGCUACGAUUUAGACAAAGCGCGUUAUUAAAUCAUCAACGUAACUAUAUGUCUUUACAUCUUUCUUUGAUCGACAGUCACUAACCGCUAAUCCGGCAAACUUAAAUUUACAUAGCUACACAUUUUCAAACCAAUAGAUAGAAGUCAAUGUAUAAUUGUUCCUUCAUUCUUUUACUAUAUAUGUUAUAAUUUCUGCAAAAGUUUCUCGAAUACCUGAUCGUUCAAUCAGAAUUUUCUAUGCCCAUGAAAUAACAAUUUAAUCACUUAACAAUCUGUGUUAAUUGUCGCGUUCUGUAUGAGACUGGAACAUGUCCCAAUAUGGGCGUAUGUAACGCGUAAUACGCAAUUAAUGUUCGAUAAAGGAUAAUAAAAAUGGAAGAAAACCAAAGAGAAGAAAUCUGAAAUCUGUUUGACGCGUUUGGUAGUUCAGCAUUAUUGCAAAACGAAAGACGAACAUGGAGGAAUCGCAAAAACCACAGAUAGCACUUUCGGUCGUGAAAACAGCGAUAUUUUCCACUCGUGACAAGUUUUUCGUCGCUUCGCCAGCGGCAGCAGGGAAUUUAAACGAGCGAAAUAAAUCUCGCGGCCCCUUUCGCGGCGUGGCUCUUACGAGCCUGUAUACGAUCGUUGUUACUAUGAUAAU